rnacentral:rRNA from 1 species
UAACCUGCCCAAGAGAUCGGGAUAACACCUGGAAACAGAUGCUAAUACCGGAUAAUAACAGAUGAUGCCUAUCAACUGUUUAAAAGAUGGUUCUGCUAUCACUCUUGGAUGGACCUGCGGUGCAUUAGCUAGUUGGUAGGGUAACGGCCUACCAAGGCGAUGAUGCAUAGCCGAGUUGAGAGACUGAUAGGCCACAUUGGGACUGAGACACGGCCCAAACUCCUACGGGAGGCAGCAGAG